GGAAGGGGCAGUUUCAGAUGUUAUUCCCCAGUGUUGUUUUGCUUAUUUAGUUCUAUAUUUGGUAAUGCCUCGAUGAUAGUGUCUAAACAUGGACUCUGAUCCUGAUGAAUGUUUUUGGUUUAGAGUAUUGCUAGAAUUUUUUUUUUUCAGAUCUUGGCAAAUCUGGUCUGUCUGUGACCAAGUUGCCAUGACAAGGAACAACCGGCCCGAAGUAAAAUAUUGAACACCCCAUUGAAUUUCCACUAUCCAUUGAGAAGAAAUCUCUCACUAUCUUCUGUCCACUAGCUUUCAUCACAGUCCCUUUUCAAAGUCC
rnacentral:misc_RNA from 1 species